rnacentral:rRNA from 1 species
GUUAAAAAGCUCGUAGUUGGAUUUCGGGAUGGGCCAGUCGGUCCGCCUAACGGUGUGUCUACUGGCUGGUCUGUUCUUCUUCGCAAAGACUGCGUGUGCACUUUACUGUGUGUGCGUAGGAUUUACGACGUUUACUUUGAAAAAAUUAGAGUGUUCAAAGCAGGCAUACCGCUUGAAUACAUGAGCAUGGAAUAAUGGAAUAGGACUUUGGUCUUAUUUUGUUGGUUUCUGAGACCGAAGUAAUGAUUAAGAGGGACAGUUGGGGGCAUUCGUAUUUCGUUGUCAGAGGUGAAAUUCUUGGAUUUACGAAAGACGAACAAUUGCGAAAGCAUUUGCCAAGAAUGUUUUCAUUAAUCAAGAACGAAAGUUAGAGGAUCGAAGACGAUCAGAUACCGUCCUAGUUCUAACCAUAAACGAUGUCGACUAGGGGAUCAGCGAACG